rnacentral:misc_RNA from 1 species
CAACCCUUAAGCCCUAGUUGCUUAGCGUUGGGAGCCUUCCGCCUCUGGCAGAAACUCCUCAAAGUUAUUGGCAGAGUUACGACAUACUCUAAGCGUAGUAAUCAUUAUCUCGCUUCUGAUGGUGUCGUGACAAUCGCCACGAACCUCUAUUUUCUAGU